AGAAUGAACGCUGGCGGCAUGGAUUAGGCAUGCAAGUCGAACGAAGAACGUCCUUCGGGACAAGUAUUAGUGGCGAAAUGGUGAGUAACGCGUGAGUAACUUGCCUCAAGGUUGGGGACAGCCCCGCGAAAGCGGGAUUAAUACCGAAUGUGGCGUUCUGCUAUGUGGCAGAAUUGCUAAAGGAGCAAUCCGCCUUGAGAUGGGCUCGCGUCCUAUUAGCUUGUUGGUGAGGUAAUGGCUCACCAAGGCUACGACAGGUAGGUGGUCUGAGAGGACGAUCACCCACACUGGGACUGAGACACUGCCCAGACUCCUACGGGAGGCUGCAGUCAAGAAUCUUCCGCAAUGCGCGAAAGCGUGACGGAGCGAUGCCGCGUGAGGGAUGAAGGCUUUCGGGUCGUAAACCUCUGUCACCCGGGAAGAAGAUCUGACGGUACCGGGAGAGGAAGCCACGGCUAACUACGUGCCAGCAGCCGCGGUAAUACGUAGGUGGCGAGCGUUAUUCGGAUUUAUUGGGCGUAAAGGGUUCGUAGGGGGUUUGUCAAGUCUGAUGUGAAAGCCCGCGGCUCAACCGCGGAAUUGCAUUGGAAACUGACAGGCUAGAGCAUAGGAGAGGUGAGUGGAAUUCCUGGUGUAGCGGUGGAAUGCGUAGAUAUCAGGAGGAACACCGAAGGCGAAGGCAGCUCACUGGACUAUUGCUGACCCUGAGGGACGAAAGCUAGGGGAGCGAACAGGAUUAGAUACCCUGGUAGUCCUAGCCGUAAACGUUGUACACUAGGUGUGGGGGGAGUUGACCCCCUCCGCGCCCAAGCUAACGCGAUAAGUGUACCGCCUGGGGAGUACGACGGCAACGUUA
rnacentral:rRNA from 1 species